UACGUAGGGGGCAAGCGUUGUCCGGAUUUAUUGGGCGUAAAGAGUGUGUAGGCGGCCAUACAGGUCAGCUGUGAAAACUCGAGGCUCAACCUCGAGACGUCGGUUGAAACCGUAUGGCUAGAGUCCGGAAGAGGAGAGUGGAAUUCCCGGUGUAGCGGUGAAAUGCGCAGAUAUCGGGAAGAACACCCGUGGCGAAGGCGGGUCUCUGGGACGGUACUGACGCUGAGACGCGAAAGCGUGGGGAGCGAACAGG
rnacentral:rRNA from 1 species